GCCUGGGUGGCUCAGUGGUUGAGCAUCUGCCUUAGGCUCAGGACACCAUCUCAGGGUCCCGGGAUCAAGUCCCACUUCGGGCU
rnacentral:tRNA from 1 species